UACAGAGGGGGCAAGCGUUAUUCGGAAUUAUUGGGCGUAAAGGGCGCGUAAGCGGCCUGGCAAGUGGAAGGUGAAAUCCCUCGGCUUAACCGAGGAACUGCCCUCCAAACUGCUUGGCUUGAGUCCGGGAGAGGUGAGUGGAAUUCCCAGUGUAGCGGUGAAAUGCGUAGAUAUCUGGAGGAACACCGGUGGCGAAGGCGGCGUCCUGGACCAACACUGACACUGAUGAGCGAAGGCCAGGGGAGCAAACGGG
rnacentral:rRNA from 1 species